rfam:Dipodomys ordii contig_71323, whole genome shotgun sequence.
UGGAAUAUGGCUUAGUGGUAGAGUGCUUGCCUGGCAUGCAUGAAGCCCUGGGUUCCAUUCCUUAGUAUAAUAU